UACGUAGGGGGCAAGCGUUGUCCGGAUUUAUUGGGCGUAAAGGGUGCGUAGGCGGCGCGGUAAGUCGGGUGUGAAAUCUCGGAGCUUAACUCCGAAACUGCAUUCGAUACUGCCGUGCUUGAGGACUGGAGAGGAGACUGGAAUUUACGGUGUAGCGGUGAAAUGCGUAGAUAUCGUAAGGAAGACCAGUGGCGAAGGCGGGUCUCUGGACAGUUCCUGACGCUGAGGCACGAAGGUCAGGGGAGCAAACGGG
rnacentral:rRNA from 1 species